rnacentral:rRNA from 1 species
AUUGAACGCUGGCGGCAUGCUUUACACAUGCAAGUCGAACGGCAGCGCGGGCUUCGGCCUGGCGGCGAGUGGCGAACGGGUGAGUAAUGCAUCGGAACGUGCCCAGUAGUGGGGGAUAGCCCGGCGAAAGCCGGAUUAAUACCGCAUACGACCUGAGGGUGAAAGCGGGGGACCGUCAGGCCUCGCGCUAUUGGAGCGGCCGAUGUCGGAUUAGCUAGUUGGUGGGGUAAAGGCUUACCAAGGCGACGAUCCGUAGCUGGUCUGAGAGGACGACCAGCCACACUGGGACUGAGACACGGCCCAGACUCCUACGGGAGGCAGCAGUGGGGAAUUUUGGACAAUGGGGGCAACCCUGAUCCAGCCAUGCCGCGUGCGGGAAGAAGGCCUUCGGGUUGUAAACCGCUUUUGUUCGGGAAGAAAUCCUCUGGGCUAAUACCCCGGGGGGAUGACGGUACCGGAAGAAUAAGCACCGGCUAACUACGUG